CAAAAUGGCCUAAGCCAUUUUGAUUUGGUUUGCCAACACUCACAUGCCCUUUAAUUUUCUCAUAUACUGCCAAUAUGAGACUUGUUCCCACAAGUGACAUUCCAACAACCAUCAACUUGCCUCUUUAAGGAACAAGAAUCUAUCAAGGAGUCACCUUCACCAUUUUGUGCAACAACAUUGCUCACAACUGAUUUAGAAGAUUUCUCAUUUGUAGGAUCAGCUUGUUUAGGAAAACCUAUUGCAGCUGUUAUUUCUUUAUCAGUCUGGGUAACCUCAUCCAAUGAUACUCCAGCUGGUUUGCUUUGUUCAACUUUAUUUUCAUCAGCAGCAUGAGCAUCAUUUUGUUCAACAGUUCCAGAUUGGCAAAUAGAGGCAACUAUUUCACUGUAA
rnacentral:misc_RNA from 1 species